rnacentral:rRNA from 1 species
CACGAAGUUAGCCGCGACUUCUUUUGCGGGUACCGUCAUCGUCGUCCCCGCCGAAAGAGCUUUACAAUCCGAAGACCUUCAUCACUCACGCGGUAUGGCUGCGUCAGGGUUGCCCCCAUUGCGCAAGAUUCCCCACUGCUGCCUCCCGUAGGAGUCUGGACCGUGUCUCAGUUCCAGUGUGGCUGGUCAUCCUCUCAGACCAGCUACUGAUCGUCGCCUUGGUGAGCCAUUACCUCACCAACUAGCUAAUCAGCCAUGGACUCAUCCUAAAGCGCUGCAACGCUUUCCCAAUAUGGAUUAUGCGGUAUUAGCGUUCACUUCUGAACGUUAUCCCCACCUUCUACGGUAGGAUUUCCUACUGUAUUACUCACCCGUUCCGUCCGCUCGACUAUUACGCCUCGCUCGACUUGCAUGUGUUAAGACCUACCGCCAACUAGUUCGUCUCUGAGCCAGGAUCAAACUACU